UGGGGAAUUUUGGACAAUGGGCGAAAGCCUGAUCCAGCAAUGCCGCGUGUGUGAAGAAGGCCUUCGGGUUGUAAAGCACUUUUGUCCGGAAAGAAAUCCUUGGCUCUAAUACAGUCGGGGGAUGACGGUACCGGAAGAAUAAGCACCGGCUAACUACGUGCCAGCAGCCGCGGUAAUACGUAGGGUGCAAGCGUUAAUCGGAAUUACUGGGCGUAAAGCGUGCGCAGGCGGUUUGCUAAGACCGAUGUGAAAUCCCCGGGCUCAACCUGGGAACUGCAUUGGUGACUGGCAGGCUAGAGUAUGGCAGAGGGGGGUAGAAUUCCACGUGUAGCAGUGAAAUGCGUAGAGAUGUGGAGGAAUGCCGAUGGCGAAGGCAGCCCCCUGGGCCAAUACUGACGCUCAUGCACGAAAGCGUGGGGAGCAAACAGGAUUAGAUACCCUGGUAGUCCACGCCCUAAACGAUGUCAACUAGUUGUUGGGGAUUCAUUUCCUUAGUAACGUAGCUAACGCGUGAAGUUGACCGCCUGGGGAGUACGGUCGCAAGAUUAAAACUCAAAGGAAUUGACGGGGUCAUAGCUGUUUCCU
rnacentral:rRNA from 1 species